GGACAGGCCUGUAGGAGCGCAGCAGGGACCACAAGGGCAGAGGACCCCAGUGGAAUCAGAUAUCUCCCACAAAAGAGACACUAGCCCUUGUAUGUACGUCCCUGAUGGUGGGAGGGUGAGCAGAAAUCGCUCCUCUGGAUGGAGAGAAAGUGGGAAGGUCCAAUGAGUGGUAAGAGGCCAACUCUGUGCCCCCCCCCUCCCCUCGCCUCUGCCUUUCCUCGCCUUCCAUCUGUCUUUGACAGAUCACAGUGAGGCUGUGACUCAGCUCCAUAGGCCGCGCCAGGAACGCUAUCUCAAGUACAAACCCCCACCCCGGGCCAGAUCUGAGGACUGAGUGCAAAGGCCACCUCAAAUUUAAAACGUGCCUUCCCUGGGGGUAGAGUGUUAUCAGCCUAGUGGGGUGGCUGCACGCCUCUUUGAGCUAGUUGCCUGGGCUCCACAAUAGAGAGUGGCGGGGAUCCCCUAUGUGUGCAGAAGCUAAACUGUGAAUCUUCUUGGUCCCCUUCCUCUUUCUGUGCAGGACACUGGCACCAACGCCAAUGCUGUGGCAUCGUCCACAAGCCACUUGACUGUCCCAGCUGUGGCCUCCAGAGGCCACCAGCUCCCGCAGGGAAACCGAAACCCGAGCUGACUCAGGGACUGCCGGGAUUCCUGUUUUUGAUUUCUCACUACAGGACAAGCGUUUCACUGUGGCAUCCUGUUUGCCUCUAAGUCCAGAGGCCUCAGCAAGGAUCUCUGCAAAACCCUUCUCACACCGAUUCCUGCCCGGUAGUGCCUAACCGGAAGCCACGGUUUAGAGGAUGCUCCUGCAAAGGGUACCUGAACCAGAAGCUCCGAGCCGCUUGUCCGAGAUUGACAUAGGAGAAAGGAAUUUUUUACUUCUUUGAUCUGCAGUCUCCUCACCAGUCCAACAGGGAUCCCUCACAGGCUGCUGGCAAGGAGGGAGGAGGUAAAGAGGUAAAGGGGAGGGGUAGAGAAAAGCAGAAAAGGCCCCAGGAGCGAGCCAUUAAGGAAAGGGCAUCCGGAUUGUAAUUACUACCACUCAGCCUGGUCACCAGACACCAGGGGUCCAAGAGGUCCCCAGGGCCUUAAAAGGGAAUAGGGCCUGAUUUCUGGAGCUCCACCCCCUGCGCCCUCAGAGACUCCAAGUCUCAGGCUUGGCAUUUCCUGUUGAUGUGAGGUUUGCUUUUUUUUUUUUUAACAGCUUCUCUCUACUAGUUCCCUCUGGUGGUGGGGGGGGGGGGGGACAGGAUCUCAGGAGCCUGACACUUGCUUCCUGGUAGGGACUCAAGCUGCUGGGACUGAGGAGUACUAAAGGAAGGGGUGUCCUUGGAGUGCUGGAGUGCUGUAGGAACUGGGGGGGGGCUCCCCAGAAAGAUGUAGGUAGACUGCAGUAAUAGUCUAAGGGGGCCUGUUUUAGGACUCAGGCAAUAGGCAGUUGUGAGUGAAUGUAGGAAGUCCAUCACCCCGGGGCCUGGUGAACUCAGUCAGAGCCCCGAGGCUCCACUUACAGUGGCUGUGAUCACUGGGACUAUCUAUGUCAAGAAGACACUGGUAAUUAAGGUACACAGGGCAGAUGAUGCAUGGCUUAUCGGCCAGAGUAAUGACUGUUAGAGCUGCCACUAGAUAGAGGUGACAGCAUGACUGAGCUGGGUAAAGUGGUGCGCAUCUGCCAUCUCAGCCCUUAGGAAGCCAAAGCAGGACCGUCACAAGUUCAAGGCCAGCCUCGGCUGACCACAAGAGUGGUCACAUUGUCUCACAGGGCCUCAGGGAAGGUUGGCACAUAUAACAGCCCCAAAGCUCUGAGUCUGUGGAACAUAUCCUGCCAGCAAGGAGGUGUCCCCUGGAACAUGGAAACUGUCGAUCUGCUGUCCUUGAAGCAAACAGUCACUAUGCCACAUUAACCAUGGUCCCACAAGGACACAGUUACUCUGUCACCACCACAGACACUAUGGCAGAGCCAGCCAUCACUGUCAUCAUGUCACAACUGCACUCUGUGGAGUACAGAUACAGCCAUGCUGUUACAGCUCUGUGACAGACACCAACAUAGUCACCCUGGGACAGUUACAGAAGCCCAGAAGCACAAUGCCACUGUCACAAUCACUGUCUUCAUAGCAGAGUUAGGCAGAGCCCCAAGUACAGGCAGCCCCAGCCUGUCACACACAACUGAAGACCCCUCCCUGAGGCUACCAUGGCAGGAAUCCCAGCUACUCUACACACCUUCAUCUGUCACUUCAGAAAGUCCUGCUGUGUUGCACUGGCUGAUCUUGCGAGCCUCACCUGCCUCUCCUCUCAUGCACUGGGAUCAAAAGCCUCUGGCUCUGUAUCCAGUAUCAUCCUUUGUAAGUGAUCCACUCAUUUUCUAGUGAGUUUUUCCUUUUGCCUUAGUUUCCCCUAUCUCUGAGACCCACAAGAUCUCACCCAGGGCAAUCUUCCUCCACCUGCUGCCAAAACUAUCUCCCUGAAAAGCCACAGAAAGGCUCCCUUACACUACCUUAGGGCUGAAAAUUCGUCAAUCUGGAUGGGAAGCAGUAGGAGAAAGUAAAAUCAAAGGGGUAAACUGAAGCACAAGUGCACUCAGAAAACAGCUACCUUGAUUAUAGGGGUGUGUCAACAUCUUGCCUAAGCUCCGCCCCAAACCCAGGUCCUGCCUCCGCCCCGCCCCUGGGGCCUGGAUCUGGUUUGUGAUCAGGUCCCUGCGGGCUCCUCUACAUGCAGCUCCCCAAGUCCGGAGAGCCCAGGUCAAGGGUCACCUGCCUGUGUAGAGGGCCAGAGGCACCUUCCGUUAGAACCCGCGGGCUCCCCCUGCAGACUGGGUCUGGAACCUUCCCAGCCCCUUCACCUAUCGCUCGCUCAUCUCUCCCAAAGGUGUGUGUGACGUCGGCGGACGUCAGCAAACAGCUGACGCAAAGCUUGCGGAGAUGAUGCCCUCUCGUUACCAUGAUGACCGGUGACGCACGCGCGCUAGAGAGGGUGCAGGUGCGGCAGUAGGCCUCUAGAGGCGCAGUGGCCCCUCUGCUAGUUCCUCGCGGCCCCACGCUGGGACUUCCCCGUCCGGGAAUCCCACGGAGGAGCCGGCCGCGUGCUGCGCGUGGUCCGAGCUGGGGGCCGGAGGAAGCGCUCCUUCGAGCUGUCGGGCUUUCUGCUACACCCAAAAUCCCCGAAAUAGCUGCGGUGUGCGGGGGCCGGCGCAGAGAGAGACGGCGGCUUCUGGGCACAGAUGGGGGACGCACAAGGCAGAGGCGCGGAGACAGACAGGGACUGGUGGAAAUAGAAACAGACAGACAGGGACACAGACACAGCUUGCGGUGACGGGGGAGGGAGAGACGGGCUACCUUCGCACCCUGGCACUGAAGAUGUGGGUUGGUGACCAUGGGUCCUUGAUUUUACCUUUCUGAGCCUCAGUUCUUUACAGACAGUGUGUCAUGUAGCUCAGGCUAGCCUCAGACUUCCUCCCUAUGACCUUGAAUAUCUUAUCCCUCUUCCUUCACUUCGGUGCUGGGAUUACAAGUUUGCAAUACUAAGCCCGUUUAAUAGGUCUAGUUUAGGGCUUCCUGCACAGUAUGCUAUGCAAGCACUCUAUCAUCUGAGGUACAUCUCCAGACCCAAAAAACCAAGACAUAAACAAACAAAAACCCCAAGGUCUCACUAUGUAGACCAGGCUGGUCUUCAAUUCACAGGUCCACUUGCCUCUGCCUUCUGAGUAGUAAAGGAAUUCACUAGGGGGGUUUCUGCUUCGUAUAUGCCAUCCUCCACUGAGUGCUGUCUCAUCUUCAAGGGCCCCAAAGGAAAAUGACAUGCCCACUAGAACUUCUGCUCUUCUAUAGAGUGCUUUAAUUUUUCUGCAGCAGGGAGGGCCGCAGUGAUGUUUUGUUAUUUUUGUUGUUGUUACUACUACUGCCUAUGUUGCCUAUAUCUCUGACCUAUAUCUGCCUACAUUGGCAUAUCAGCUGCCUGGGCUGAGGGAAAUGUGCUUGCUGUGUAAGCAUGGGGACUGAGUUCAGAUCCUAGUACCCAUGUAAAAGCUGUGUGGAGGGGUGCACCUGUAACCCUCCAUGCUACAAUGGGAGGUGGGCAUGAGGAUCCUGGGGCACAAUGGCAAGCUGGUCUAAAGAAAUUCUGAGGCGGGGCGUGGUGGCACAUGCCUUUAAUCCCAGCACUUGGGAGGCAGAGGCAGGCAGAUUUCUGAGU